GCAAUUAAAAAAAAGUAUAUAAUAUUAUAAGGAAGCUUUUAUGAUGUUUGUAUGAUAACAGAUAAAAUGUUUUUUUACCAGAUAAAAGUGACAAUUUGCAUUUUAUACUAUACCUCUAGUUUGUCUAUGGUAAGAACUCCCCUUGCCACAAAGUCUGAGGCUUUCUGCUGCUAUGGAAACAAGACUAGCGCAUUUCUGGGAGGGUAGCUUCUCGUCACUCUAGAGCUAGCACAAUAGACCGAAGAAAGAGUUCAUUUCUCUUGCUGACGGGAGCCAAAACUUACCCUAAACAGUGACCCCACACCCCUACUUGAAAUAGUUUUACCUCGCUACCAAAGUCACCGCCGCAGGUCCAGACGAAUGGCAUGGGACUUCAGACAAACUCUAUUUGUUUGAUAACCAUUGGUUAAAAGUUACAUUGUAAAUUCGUUCUGUAGCUCCACAGCAUGUUAUUGUAUACUUCUCUAAUUACAAUGUUUCCUUAAUUAAAAUUUGAUAUUCUGAAAUUGAUGUGAUUCCUAAUACGUCAUCUGAAAAAGAUAGAUCAGAUUUGGAACAGCUUCGAAAGGCGGUAGAUUCAUCUGCACGUCCUCAAAAUUUAGAGAUAAGUCAUAAAUGGUGUAAAGCAGACUCAGAUACUGAAAUCUCAGAGUUAUCAAAAAGUCUAACUGAUUCAGAUCCAGUGGUUUCAUCAUUGAAAGAAAAGAUCAAAUCUCUUGAAGAUCAAGAUAAGAAUGUUCGGUGUCUCAUUUGUUUGGAAUCUUAUACAAAACCUGUUGUAUCCACCACCUGUUGGCAUGUGCAUUGUGAAUAAUGUUGGCUCAUGACAAUGGUAACUAUAUUUCCUUCCUCAGAAGGCACUUACUUAAGCCUUCUGAUAAAAGAUAUAUUAAUAAUCAUUUUUUUUAAUUACUGAACAAAACUUUCAUAAAUGCAGAUUUA